UUGGACUCCAUUGGUGAGUUCAUUAAUAAUCCCUACCCUUUGUGAUUUGUUUGUUUGAAUAAUUUUUUUUCCAAAAAAAAAAAUUAUUGAAUGUCUUUCCCUGUUUUGGUGGAGCUUGUAAAGUGAAACCAGGCAGGGGAAUGGCAAACAACAAUUAUUUUUGAAAAAGACCUUUUUUUAAAAUUAAACUUUUUGUAUUCAUUUGUCUAAAAUUAUUUUUAUAAUAUAAAAACAACUUUUGACAAUGGAUCUCUUGGUUCUCGCAACGAUGAAGAACGCAGCAAAAUGCGAUAAGUAGUGUUGAAUUGCAGAAUACGUGAAUCAUCGAAUCUUCGAACGCAUAUUGCACUUUUUUAGUUUACUAAAAAAGUAUGUCUGUUUGAGUAUCAGUAAAAUAUUCUCAUAAAAAACAUUGUUUUUUUAUGGUUAUGAGUGUUUUACAACGAUAACAAGUUGUUUCACUUUAAAUUCUUUGUUAUCAAAAAAAUCAUUAAAAGCUAAUUUUAAAGAUUUUUUAAAAUUGGAUAAAAUUUCCCGUAAAAAGGAAUAACCUAAACAAUUUUAAAAAUUAAAAUUGGUUUUGAUUUUUUUGAAACCCAAAGGAAAAAAAAACGAAAUUAACUUGAUCUCAAAUCAGAUAAGAGUACCCGCUGAACUUAAGCAUAUCAAUAAGCGGAGGAAAAGAAACUAACUAGGAUUCCCUCAGUAACGGCGAGUGAAGCGGGAAGAGCUCAAAUUUGAAUCUUCAAGGUUUACCUUGACGAAUUGUAGUUUAAAGAAGUGUUUCUGUUGGAGUUUUGGUAAAAGUUCUUUGAAAAGGACAUCAUAGAGGGUGAGAAUCCCGUAUUUGACCAUUAUCUCCAGCUUUGUGAUACACUUUCAAAGAGUCGGAUUGUUUGGGAAUGCGUCCAAAAUGGGUGGUAAAUUUCAUCUAAAGCUAAAUACUGGCGAGAGACCGAUAGCGAACAAGUACCGUGAGGGAAAGAUGAAAAGAACUUUGAAAAGAGAGUUAAACAGUACGUGAAGUUGUCAAAAGGGAAGCGUUUGACACCAGUGUUGUUUUCUCGAAAAUCAAUUAGAAAGGCCGGAUUUGUGUUGUAUUGACUUUAUCAGCUUUCUGCACUUUUUCUUGUCUUUUUUAAUGCACUUUUCGUUUAACAAGUCAACAUCAAUUCUUUUGUUGUAAAAGGGUCAUUGGAAGGUGGCUUCUUUUCGGAGAAAGUGUUUAUAGCCUUUGGCCUCUGCAAUCGGAGAGAUUGAGGUCUGCAGCGUAGAUCCUUCGGGGUUAGAUACAUUUGUGCUAAGUUAUAGCC
rnacentral:misc_RNA from 1 species